rnacentral:rRNA from 5 species
GAUUGACCUCGGAUCAGGUAGGGAUACCCGCUGAACUUAAGCAUAUCAAUAAGCG